CAGUAGCCGCGGGAAUACGUAGGUCCCGAGCGUUGUCCGGAUUUAUUGGGCGUAAAGGGAGCGCAGGCGGUUUAGUAAGUCUGAAGUUAAAGGCAUUGGCUCAACCAAUGUAUACUUUGGAAACUGUUAACUUGAGUGCAGAAGAGGAGAGUGGAAUUCCAUGUGUAGCGGUGAAAUGCGUAGAUAUAUGGAGGAACACCAGUGGCGAAGGCGACUCUCUGGUCUGUAACUGACGCUGAGGCUCGAAAGCGUGGGUAGCAAACAGGAUUAGAUACCCCUGUAGUCCCUGUCUCUUAUACAA
rnacentral:rRNA from 1 species